rnacentral:lncRNA from 1 species
CUGCCGUGCAGCUGAAGGUGCCGCGGGGCGCAGGGCGCGAGGAGGCGCAGGGCGCGAGGAGCGGCUGCGGGACCGGAAGGCUCGCCGCGUGCACGCCGCAGGCCUCCAGCUCCCUGGACGGAAGGCGUUUAGAGAGAAAGAGAGCUGUUAAACUUCUCCUCUCCAGACACACAACCUGCUCUUCUGCCAGCAUUCCUCGCUGUCCGACUCAAACCAGAGAGCGUGGAGCUGUGCAGAUGAGAGGGAAGGCCACUCAAACAUGCAGGGAAUGGAGGGAAGAAGCCAUACCAGGAGUCGGCGUUAGGGAACUUUCAGUGAUUUCUUUAGAUUUCGAUGCACACAUUAACAAAUGCACAAACUCAGACCAGCUGACUGUCAAUUAUUGGGCUUCUCAUGUGCUGAACUGUGAAACGCUCAGAUUCCACCGACAAAAUCGUCUCACACGCCACAUUUAAUGCAACGCGUACGUUUGGGCACGCUUCCCAAGUCACGCGUUCCCACCCGGUUCUAAUUUGAACGACGCUCUCUAGAGUGAUGCUGCGACCGAGGGACGCUGAACGCAGCGGGAGACGUCCGUACCUCCGCCGCUAGAGGGCGCUGUUGGCUCUGAUUCCCGCCUGCACCGCUGCAGGAAGCCCGGAGGCUGGAGACGCCGAUCAGAGGACGCUUCUCCGGCGCGCGGAGACACGUGGAGCCGCCUGCGGGUCGCGGUUUGUGCGCACGACUGCAAAGAAUACAAGACUGGUGAUGCAUCCGCACCCGUCAGAAGUCAGGAGGCCUGUGUUUGCUCCAGGGAUUACAUUACCACACCACAGAGCUGCCAGACAGACCCGCUGCACCACCACCCAAGGUGAUCUCUGCUCGGGUCAGCGCCUUCGGCUGCGUGGAAUAAUGACAUCCCCGCUCGGCCUGACUCAUCACCACCCCCGUCCCCAUGGGAUCCAUGCUGCAGCUCACGCGAAAUUUAUUGCCGGUGAACCCCUUCGGCUCAGCCCUGCCUCCAUGCGCGCCUGUUGGUGUUCUCUUCCUCACUCGCUUCCUGGUUCUGAGGUCCGCGUGCGUCCGACAGCAGGGUUCAGCUGCUCGGACCGACUCAUCACCGUUGACGUCGGUAGAGUACUCGCUAAAGUAGUCACUCGUUGCUGCAGGAGGAAAGGGAUGGAGCAAGGUGAGGACUGAAGAGGCCGGAGAGCGAGUUUCCUCUGAGUCUGUUUCUCCCGUUGUCAGAGGAAGAAAUAAAUUUAGCUUAUUGCAUUAGCGGGGCA